rnacentral:rRNA from 1 species
AGUGAACGCUGGCGGUAGGCCUAACACAUGCAAGUCGAACGGCAGCACAGUAAAAGCUUGCUCUUACGGGUGGCGAGUGGCGGACGGGUGAGGAAUACAUCGGAAUCUACUUUUUCGUGGGGGAUAACGUAGGGAAACUUACGCUAAUACCUCAUACGACCUACGGGUGAAAGCAGGGGAUCUUCGGACCUUGCGCGAUUGAAUGAGCCGAUGUCGGAUUAGCUAGUUGGCGGGGUAAAGGCCCACCAAGGCGACGAUCCGUAGCUGGUCUGAGAGGAUGAUCAGCCACACUGGAACUGAGACACGGUCCAGACUCCUACGGGAGGCAGCAGUGGGGAAUAUUGGACAAUGGGCGCAAGCCUGAUCCAGCCAUACCGCGUGGGUGAAGAAGGCCUUCGGGUUGUAAAGCCCUUUUGUUGGGAAAGAAAAGCAGCAGGUUAAUACCCCGCUGUUCUGACGGUACCCAAAGAAUAAGCACCGGCUAACUUCGUG